GCAGGCGGGAGGGGUCCCCAUGUUGACUAUUGGUGUACGCGGGCUCAAAGCCCCCACUGAGCGUGCGCACACCGGCCGCUACAGCCCUCUGGGCUGCGGAGCCGGAGUUGGUCCCAAAGCGGAAGUGCUUCUUGGGGCCAGUUUUCGUAACGGUCUCCUCUGCAGCGAGCACAAAAUCUGUGUCGAGAGAGAGGUUGAGGGGGCGAGUAGUAGGGGUGAUGGGCUGAGUGAUGGGGAGUUCUGGGGGACGAAUGAAGCGGGUGUUGGGGGGGUCACUGAUGUGGGAGGUUGUGGGGUGGACCGAGAGGUCAGCGAAUGAGGGUUUGUGGGCUCAAUGGUAGACAAAGUUAUGGGGCUAGUCGGGGUUGAAUGGGGCAUAUUAAACGUUGACUUUUACACAUUUUCCAGCACAGUGACCUGCGCUAAGGGUUCAUACGCACCCCUCAAGCUCCUCCUUAGGCGCCCCCGCCUCUCCCUCUGUUCCUCUCCCCUUGCCCGAGCCCCGAGGUAGAGGCCUUGUGUGAAUGCUCCAGCUGAAGUGAAUCUGCACCCGAAGGCUUCCUUUUGGCUCCUGGGCAAGACGUCCCCAGUGAGCUCAGGCUUCACACAUCUGUCUUUUCCCAAGAAGAGCAGGAAAUGGCCAAAGCCCAGAGUAAAUAUUGGAUUGCUGGGUCAUGUGGUAAGUGUAUGGCUUAACUUUUUAGGAAUCUGCCAAAUUGUUUUCUAGGAUGGUUGAAUUAUUUUUCAUUUCCACCAGUAAUGUUUAAGAAUUCCAAUUGCUUCACAUUUUUGCCAGCACUUGGUAUUGUCAGUACCGUUGACACUUGAAUAACGCUGGGGUUAGGGGCACUGACUCCCCCAGUAGUUGAAAAUCCACCUACAGUCGGCCCUCUGUAUGUGUGUUUCCAACUAACUUGCAGAUCGUGUAGUACUGUAGUAUGCAUUUACUGAAAAAAAUCCACAUAUAAGU